AGAAUCAACGCUGGCGGCGUGCCUAACACAUGCAAGUCGCACGAGAAAGGGACUUCGGUCCUGAGUAAAGUGGCGCACGGGUGAGUAACACGUGAAUCAUCUACCUCCGAGUGGGGAAUAACCUAGAGAAAUCUGGGCUAAUACCGCAUAACACUUACGAGUCAAAGCAGCAAUGCGCUUGGAGAGGAGUUCGCGGCAGAUUAGUUAGUUGGCGGGUAAUGGCCCACCAAGACGGUGAUCUGUA
rnacentral:rRNA from 1 species